UACAGAGGUGGCAAGCGUUGUUCGGAAUUACUGGGCGUAAAGGGCGCGUAGGCGGCCUUCUAAGUCAGACGUGAAAUCCCCAGGCUUAACUUGGGAACUGCGUCUGAUACUGGGAGGCUUGAAUGCGGGAGAGGGAUGCGGAAUUCCAGGUGUAGCGGUGAAAUGCGUAGAUAUCUGGAGGAACACCGGUGGCGAAGGCGGCAUCCUGGACCGGUAUUGACGCUGAGGCGCGAAAGCCAGGGGAGCAAACGGG
rnacentral:rRNA from 1 species